AGAGCGGCGAGCGCCCCGGUGCGAUUCCCUGCUCCCUGCCUGGUCCGAGACGUCCUUUUCAUAUUUGCCUGGCAGAAAGUUUACCAAUCGGUAGCAGAACACCCCCUCCUGGCUCUUGCCCGCGCAGGACAAGCCGCGAUACCCCCUCCACCCUGCUCGCUCCGGCCCGAGCGGAGCUGGGUCCAUGGGGUGGCGCGGCCGUGGAGGGGGUAGCAGGGCCGCACCACGCUGCCCAGGGUUGGGGCGGCGCAGCGCAGUGUCGUAGCGAGCCUUGCCGCGGGAGGACGCGUCGCAGCCGGCGCCGCGCGCACGUCGCAGCCGAGUCGAGCCCUUUACCUGUGGCGCCCCGCCACGCCCCGCCCGCCCCGCCACGCCCGACCACGCCACAGCGGGGUGCGCCCGCCGCAGCAGGCGGGCUUGACCGCAGGUGACGGCGACGACAGCCCGACCCCCGGGGUAACUGAAUGGACCUCGGGCCCUCCUCGACGCAGCACUCCAAGCCGGGCCGCCCGCCCUGAGGCGUCCUCCAAUGCAGCCAACACCCCCAUGGUGUACUACUACAUGCUAGCGUCGGGACAGGGCCCGCGACGCCCGCGUCCACAGGCCCCCAGGGCUCAAAACAAGGGCCAAAAAGCCCAAAAUGUGGCAUUACUACAUGCUAGCAGGUACGUCGUCUAGUAGACUCAAGGGUGAAAAAGACAUGUCAAAUCGCGCAGUCUUUUUAGAACUAGCUAUCUGGAUUUUUUUUUCUGAACACCAAAACUGAGAUUGGUGACCUAGAUUAUUUUCAACACAGUAAAUCAACGUCACAUUAUUCGCGUAAUUUUUGCGUCAAACCCAAAGCAACUUAACUGCAGAGUGUAGCAUUAUCAACGACGUAGCGCUGGUAGAGAAGCCAUCGAUAUUAUUAUACCGUGAAUAGCAUCACAACUGCUUCUGAACUUCCAAAAUAACGCAUGCCAGAAAAACUGAUAUAGUGUAGCGCACUUUCUGCAUGCCGAAAGUGAUUGUGUUCGAUAGCAAUGUCACGCAGAAAUGCAUGCUAGUAAGUUGAUGCCACUCAGCUCGCUGACGUAGAGGAAGUGGCCUGCGCUCUUUUAUAGGCUGAUGGAUCGUACAGCGCGCGGGCUCUCUGUGCUGUUCCCGCGCGGAGGGAAAAAAGCGACGACGCGACGGUCCUGUUGUUGUUGGUCGAUCCGCCCCGUGCGGUUGGGUGACGAAGUGCUUUCCGCCCGGGGGAACCUCGUUGCUCCCACCCCCCGCCCCUAAACGUUCUCGAGUCGAGACGUCAGAAAAAUCUGGGCAGCGCUGCUCUCGGGCGUUGGCGAGGGGCUGGCCCAAUAGUCUGCUAUAGGUGGAGCGGGCGAGGCCACUCCCGGAGCAGCCCCAGCAGCCCUAGCCAGCCGCGAGCCCCACCGGCCUUGACGCCACGGAACCUCUUCUUUUUUUAGUGUUUCCUCUUCUUCGCCCGGCGCGGCCCCCUGUAGCCUUUAUGCGCUCCAAGCGACGCGAAACUGAAUAUAAGGACCGUGCCUCGCGGGGAAGGUGAAGGGGGGAGGGCGGGGGUAGACUCGCGCAAACCUGGGCGGAGAGCUAGGGCGGGGCGGGGCGAUGCCGUCGGAGCGAUUCCGACCUCCUUUCCCCUCACAUCACACACAAUUCUAGCCCGUGGCCUCGAGGUGCAGGGCGGCACCAAGGCGUCUGCUGUCGCCUUCCUCCUUUAUCAGAGCUCUCUCUCUCUCCCACUUUAUGCUUCUUCUUCCUUAUUUUUUUAUAUUUGCUGUUUUGCUUUGCCCGAGACGCCAUCCCUCGCAGCCUCU